UGGGGAAUCUUGCACAAUGGAGGGAACUCUGAUGCAGCAACGCCGCGUGAAGGAUGAAGGUUUUCGGAUCGUAAACUUCUAUCAGUAGGGAAGAAAACAAUGACAGUACCUAACUAAGAAGCCCCGGCUAACUACGUGCCAGCAGCCGCGGUAAUACGUAGGGGGCAAGCGUUAUCCGGAUUUACUGGGUAUAAAGGGUGCGUAGGUGGCAUGGUCAGUUAGGUGUGAAAGCCCAAGGCUUAACCUUGGGAUUGCAUCUAAAACUGCCAAGCUAGAGGGCAGGAGAGGAAAGUGGAAUUCCUAGUGUAGCGGUGAAAUGCGUAGAUAUUAGGAGGAACAUCAGUAGCGAAGGCGGCUUUCUGGACUGUAACUGACACUGAGGCACGAAAGCGUGGGUAGCAAACA
rnacentral:rRNA from 1 species